rnacentral:rRNA from 1 species
AACGAACGCUGGCGGCAUGCCUAACACAUGCAAGUCGAACGAGACGUUCGGGUCUAGUGGCGCACGGGUGCGUAACGCGGGGGAACCUGCCCGUAGGUUCGGAAUAACUCCCCGAAAGGGGUGCUAAUACCGGUUAAUGUCAUCGGGCCAAAGAGUUAUCGCCUUUGGCUGGGCGCGGGUUGGAUUAGCUGGUUGGUAGGGUAAAAGCCUACCAAGGAGACGUUCCAGAGCUGGUGUGUGAGGAUGAUCAGCCACACUUGGAAUGCGACCCGGACCAGACCCCGACGGAAGGGAGCAGAAGAGAGCAUUGGAGGCGGGGGCAAGGCGUGGUCCAGCAGUGCGGGGUAAGUCAUGAAGGGCUUAGGAUUGUAAAGCUCUUUUACACGGGAUGAUAAUGACAGUAACGGGUGAAUAAGCACCGGCUAACUCCGUG